rnacentral:rRNA from 1 species
AGUAAUGCGUGACCAACCUCGCCCCAUGCUCCAGAAUAGCUCUUGGAAACGGGUGGUAAUGCUGGAUGCUCCAACUUGACGCAUGUCUUGUUGGGAAAGUGUUUAGUGGCAUGGGAUGGGGUCGCGUCCUAUCAGCUUGUAGGCGGGGUAAUGGCCCACCUAGGCUUUCGACGGGUAGCCGGGCCUGANAGGGCGGACGGCCACAUUGGGACUGAGAUAGGCCCAGACUCCUACGGGAGGCAGCAGCG